AUAUAUAUAUAUAUAUAUAUAAUACACAAGAUCCAGCGCACUCACCUAUCCACUAAACAGCAACUUCAAUGUUGAAAGAUUUUAUUUGUUUUUUUAAAAACACCUAAUCUAGGCAAAAAUAAUGGGGGUUUAGUUACAUUAUAUGAUCAUACAUUGCAUAAGCCUGCCACAACGUCAAUGUACCCCAUCUUUGGCAGGUCCUACACUAACAGCCUAAUGUCUGCUCUUAUGAGAUUAACCUACUUGGGGAAAGAAAUUCCAUCUGAGGCUCUCUGCAGUACAAGGCUAAAUAGGGCCCUGGGAUGAGGCACCUGUGACAGGGAGGGGUGCAAAACCAAGGAGUUGGCUAGACUCCCAAAUAUAUAUAAAACAAG